rnacentral:rRNA from 1 species
AACGAACGCUGGCGGUAUGCUUAACACAUGCAAGUCGAACGAAGCACUUUUACAGAUUUCUUCGGAAUGAAGUUUUAGUGACUGAGUGGCGGACGGGUGAGUAACGCGUGGGUAACCUGCCUCACACAGGGGGAUAACAGUUGGAAACGGCUGCUAAUACCGCAUAAGCGCACAGUACCGCAUGGUACAGUGUGAAAAACUCCGGUGGUGUGAGAUGGACCCGCGUCUGAUUAGCUAGUUGGCAGGGCAACGGCCUACCAAGGCGACGAUCAGUAGCCGACCUGGGAGGGUGACCGGCCACAUUGGGACUGAGGCACGGCCCAAACUCCUACGGGAGGCAGCAGUGGGGAAUAUUGCACAAUGGGGGAAACCCUGAUGCAGCGACGCCGCGUGAGCGAAGAAGUAUUUCGGUAUGUAAAGCUCUAUCAGCAGGGAAGAAGAAAUGACGGUACCUGACUAAGAAGCACCGGCUAAAUACGUGCCAGCAGCCGCCGUAA